rnacentral:rRNA from 1 species
UGUCGUCAGCUCGUGUCGUGAGAUGUUGGGUUAAGUCCCGCAACGAGCGCAACCCUUGUUACAUGUUACCAGCAUUUAGUUGGGGACUCAUGUGAGACUGCCGGCGUUAAGCCGGAGGAAGGUGGGGACGACGUCAAGUCAUCAUGCCCCUUAUGUCCUGGGCUGCACACGUGCUACAAUGGUUGGUACAGAGGGUUGCUAACCCGCGAGGGCAAGCGAAUCCCCCAAAGCCAGCCUUAGUUCGGAUUGCAGGCUGAAACCCGCCUGCAUGAAGUCGGAGUUGCUAGUAAUCGCGAAUCAGCACGUCGCGGUGAAUGCGUUCCCGGGUCUUGUACACACCGCCCGUCACACCACCCGAGUCGUCUGCACCCGAAGUCGUCAUACUGAACCCUUUUGGGACAGUGGUGCCGAAGGUGUGGAGGGUAAGGGGGGUGAAGUCGUAACAAGGUAGCCGUACCGGAAGGUGCGGCUGGAUCACCUCCUUU